rnacentral:rRNA from 1 species
CCCUUAGAUGUUCUGGGCCGCACGCGUGCUACACUGAGUAAAUCAAUGGGUAAGGGAACACGAAAGUGCAACCUAAUCUUCAAAUUUGCUCGUGAUGGGGAUCGACGGUUGCAAUUUUCCGUCGUGAACGAGGAAUACCUUGUAGGCGCGUGUCAUCAUCACGCGCCGAAUACGUCCCUGCCCUCUGUACACACCGCCCGUCGCUCCUACCGAUUGAGUGAUCCGGUGAGGCUCUGGGACCUGGACGGAAAGAGCGUUUCGCUUGUUCUGUUUGGGAAACUUGGUCGAACCUUAUCAUUUAGAGGAAGGAGAAGUCGUAACA